UACGUAGGGCGCAAGCGUUGUCCGGAAUUAUUGGGCGUAAAGAGCUCGUAGGCGGUUUGUCGCGUCUGCUGUGAAAACCUAAGGCUCAACCUUGGGCUUGCAGUGGGUACGGGCAGACUAGAGUGAUGUAGGGGAGACUGGAAUUCCUGGUGUAGCGGUGAAAUGCGCAGAUAUCAGGAGGAACACCAAUGGCGAAGGCAGAUCUCUGGGCCGUAACUGACGCUGAGGAGCGAAAGCAUGGGGAGCGAACAGG
rnacentral:rRNA from 1 species